AACGCUAGCUACAGGCUUAACACAUGCAAGUCGAGGGGCAUCACAGAGUGGCAACACUUGGGUGGCGACCGGCGCACGGGUGAGUAACACGUAUCCAACCUGUCCCAUACUCGGGGAUAGCCUUUCGAAAGAAAGAUUAAUACCCGAUGCCAAGUUGAGAUCGCAUGAUUUUGAUUUGAAAGAAAUUCGGUAUAGGAUGGCGAUGCGUCUGAUUAGGUAGAUGGCGGGGUAACGGCCCACCAUGCCGACGAUCAGUAGGGGUUCUGAGAGGAAGGUCCCCCACAUUGGAACUGAGACACGGUCCAAACUCCUACGGGAGGCAGCAGUGAGGAAUAUUGGUCAAUGGGCGAGAGCCUGAACCAGCCAAGUAGCGUGCAGGAUGACGGCCCUAUGGGUUGUAAACUGCUUUUAUAAGGGAAUAAAGUGAGCCUCGUGAGGCUUUUUGCAUGUACCUUAUGAAUAAGGACCGGCUAAUUCCGUGCCAGCAGCCGCGGUAAUACGGAAGGUCCGGGCGUUAUCCGGAUUUAUUGGGUUUAAAGGGAGCGUAGGCCGGAGAUUAAGCGUGUUGUGAAAUGUAGAUGCCCAACAUCUGAACUGCAGCGCGAACUGGUUUCCUUGAGUACGCACAAAGUGGGCGGAAUUCGUGGUGUAGCGGCGAAAUGCUUAGAUAUCACGAAGAACUCCGAUUG
rnacentral:rRNA from 1 species